rnacentral:rRNA from 1 species
CCUACGGGAGGCAGCAGUGGGGAAUAUUGCGCAAUGGGCGAAAGCCUGACGCAGCGACGCCGCGUGUGGGAAGACGGUCCUCUGGAUUGUAAACCACUGUCCCCAGGGACGAAGAUGACGGUACCUGGGGAGGAAGCUCCGGCUAACUACGUGCCAGCAGCCGCGGUAAUACGUAGGGAGCGAGGGUUGUCCGGAAUUACUGGGUGUAAAGGGAGCGUAGGCGGGGAUGCAAGUUGGGUGUCAAAACUACCGGCUCAACUGGUAGUCGCACUCAAAACUGCAGCUCUUGAGUGAAGUAGAGGCAGGCGGAAUUCCUAGUGUAGCGGUGAAAUGCGUAGAUAUUAGGAGGAACACCAGUGGCGAAGGCGGCCUGCUG